CGAGGGGAAGGUGUUACGAACCUCUCGGACUCGUGGUUCUAAUGCGAUCGCUUCUUGACUUAUAUCGGCUAAUUUGACGCUGUGAAGUGAAUAAACCACAUAAAACACACAAAACAAAUCCAAAAAAUAGUGUAUAGUCCAAUUAUUACAAUCUAAAAUAAGAGAUACUAAAAUAAACCUAUGCUAACCUACACUAGUCCUAAACUAUGCUCUACCCGAUGCCUCGGGCCUUGAUCACGAAUGUCCUUUGCGUACAAGAUACUUCGAGGCAUACCCCGGUGAUUAAGUACAAAUGGCCUUGGGGCAUUCCCCGGCUAAAUGAAUACAUUUUCCAAUUUCAAGCGAUAAAAUGAAGCAAUCUCAAGCAUAAACAUUCGAUCAUUCCACAAUCAUCAAUUU
rnacentral:lncRNA from 1 species